UACGUAGGGUGCGAGCGUUGUCCGGAAUUAUUGGGCGUAAAGAGCUCGUAGGCGGUGUGUCACGUCGGCCGUGAAAACCUGCAGCUUAACUGUGGGCGUGCGGUCGAUACGGGCAGGCUCGAGUUCGGUAGGGGAGACUGGAAUUCCUGGUGUAGCGGUGAAAUGCGUAGAUAUUUGGAGGAAUACCGGUGGCGAAGGCGGCCUUCUGGGAUAAAACUGACGCUCAGGCACGAAAGCGUGGGUAGCAAACAGG
rnacentral:rRNA from 1 species